rnacentral:lncRNA from 1 species
AAUCAAAACUAUUAAACCUAAUAUAUUAAAGUGUUCGUUUUCUAAGGGAACCCACCUGAUUCAACAGCCGUACCGCGUUGUUUCGCAAGCCUAGAAUCAUUCAAUUGCGCCGUUUGUGUACCCAAACCCGCAGCCCUCAAAAUACCAUUUUGACAGCUUCAGCCCUCAACUUCAGAAGCAUGUUCAUACAUCAAUACUGAUCCAAAAAGAGUGAAACUUGUACCCAAAAUGACGGGACUUUCGUUAUCUUUCCAUAGCAACAAACGAAAUUUAAAUCGGAACUACGAGGAGAGAGUACUGACCGUUUUAGUGAAGCCCUGUCUAGGAACACGAAUUUCACCAAUCUUCUUCUAAAUUGCUCCAAAUCCCUUAACCAUGGCUCCUUGAUCCUUGAAGUUAAUAUGCAAGAUAAAACUCAAUCUUAGGCUUGAUUCUUAGGCUUGAUCACAAACAAAUCAAAGUAAAAAAUUUAUGAAAACACAAAAAAUUGAAAAAGAGGUUUAUUCUAGUAAAAUCAAAUUAGAAUCACACUAAUAACAGAAAAAUCAAAACUAUUAAACCUAAUCUAUUAAAGUGCUCGUUUUCUAAGGGAACCCACCUGAUUCAACAGCCGNNN